GAAAUGCGAUAAUUAAUGUGAAUUGCAGAAUUCAGUGAAUCAUCGAGUCUUUGAACGCACAUUGCGCCCCCUGGUAUUCCGGGGGGCAUGCCUGUCCGAGCGUCAUUGCUGCCCUCAAGCACGGCUUGUGUGUUGGGCUUCCGUCCCUGGCAACGGGGACGGGCCCAAAAGGCAGUGGCGGCACCAUGUCUGGUCCUCGAGCGUAUGGGGCUUUGUCACCCGCUCCCGUAGGUCCUGCUGGCAGCUAGCCUCGCAACCAAUCUUUUUAACCAGGUUGACCUCGGAUCAGGUAGGGAUACCCGCUGAACUUAAGC
rnacentral:misc_RNA from 1 species